GCGACUGUUAAUCGCAAGAUCGUGACCGCAAUCCUCACCGGGGUCG
rnacentral:tRNA from 1 species